UCAUAUUUACAUCACAAAUUAGGAAGAGCUUGGCUAGAAAUAGGUAAGGUUCUGCUGAGAAGAGGAUUUAACUGGGAAUGUGCUCUUGGAAUUUCUGAAUUUGAAGAAGUAUGAUUGCUUGAAAGCAUACCAAGUGUUUAAAAGGACUAACUCAUGAGAUGAUAUGACGCCUGGGCAGCACCAGAAUUGUUAGAAAUGGACUGACAGAAAUGUAUCUGUAGUGACUCUUUUCCUACUUCAGCCUUCAAAGGAACACGGCCACCCAUAUCCAGUCUGUAUCCUGGAAAGACUUAUGACUAACCAAAGAGACGGGAGACCAUGAAAAGAGUCAGUCAUGGAUUGAAGAGAACAGACAGACAUAGUCUCCCACAGUCUGGAAGUAGUUUUAAUGAGGAACAUGAUCAACCAGAAAGCAGAAGGAGGGUGUGUAGAGGAAAUAGACAAAACAAACAAAGAAGCAAACAAAUGGUACCUGGUUGCAGUCCUGUCUUGGGUUGGCCAAGAAUGUGAAUAAAUGUUAUAUGCCUGGAUCAAA